GGGGUUGUAGCUCAGUGGUUGAGUGCUUACCUCGCACGUACGAGACACUGGGUUCUAUCCUCAGCAUCACAU
rnacentral:tRNA from 1 species